GACGAACGCUGGCGGCGUGCUUAACACAUGCAAGUCGAACGAGUGGCGAACGGGUGAGUAACGCAUCGGAACGUACCGAGUAAUGGGGGAUAACUGUCCGAAAGGACAGCUAAUACCGCAUAUUAUUCGAGCGGCCGAUGUCUGAUUAGCUGGUUGGCGGGGUAAAGGCCCACCAAGGCGACGAUCAGUAGCGGGUCUGAGAGGAUGAUCCGCCACACUGGAACUGAGACACGGUCCAGACUCCUACGGGAGGCAGCAGUGGGGAAUAUUGCACAAUGGGCGCAAGCCUGAUGCAGCCAUGCCGCGUGUGUGAAGAAGGCCUUCGGGUUGUAAAGCACUUUCAGCGGGGAGGCGUUACCCGCAGAAGAAGCACCGGCUAACUCCGUGCCAGCAGCCGCGGUAAUAC
rnacentral:rRNA from 1 species